rnacentral:rRNA from 1 species
AUGAUGCAGCCACCGCCGCCGUCGCAGCCGCAGCCGGGCAUGGGCGCCCCCAUGCCGCCGCAGGGCGCGGGAGGGCAGCCGCCGCACUGGGGCGCGAUCCCGCCGCCGAUGCCCCACUACGCGCAGCCGCCCCCGCAGCAGCAGCCGCCGCCGCAGGCCAUGUGGGGCCAGCCGCCGCCCCAGGCCGCGCCCUACGGCCAGGUGCCCGCCCCGCAGCAGUACUACGCCGCGCCGCAGGCCCCCGCCGCCCCCGCGGCCUCGGACGAGGUCAGGACGCUCUGGAUCGGGGACCUCCAGUACUGGAUGGACGAGAACUACAUCUACAGCUGCUUCGCCAACACCGGGGAGUUCCAAUCUGUGAAGCUUAUCCGUGACAAGCAAACUGGACAGCUUCAGGGCUAUGGCUUUGUCGAGUUUGCAAGCCAUGCAGGCGCUGAGCGAGUUCUUCAGACAUUCAAUGGUCAAAUGAUGCCAAAUGUUGAGUUGGCAUACAGACUGAACUGGGCCAGUGCUGGUGAAAAGCGUGAUGAUACCCCGGACUAUACAAUCUUUGUUGGGGAUUUGGCAGCUGAUGUUACAGACUACAUGUUACAGGAGACAUUCAGGGUCCAUUACCCUUCAGUGAAGGGCGCAAAGGUUGUAACUGACAAGAUGACAAUGCGUUCAAAAGGUUAUGGGUUUGUGAAGUUUGGUGACCCUACAGAGCAAGCUCGUGCCAUGACUGAAAUGAAUGGAAUGCCCUGUUCUUCCAGACCUAUGCGCAUUGGUCCAGCAGCAAAUAGAAAGACAACUGGGGUUCAGGAGAGAGUACCAAUUCCAAAUACAAAUACUCAAGGAGCUCAGUCUGACAAUGAUCCUAACAAUACCACCAUAUUUGUUGGUGGCCUUGACCCCAAUGUCACUGAAGAUGCCUUGAAACAAGUGUUUGCUCCAUAUGGGGAAGUUGUCCAUGUCAAGAUCCCUGUUGGGAAGAGAUGUGGCUUUGUUCAGUAUGCUAACAGGCCUUCUGCUGAGCAAGCUCUGCAAUUGCUGCAAGGGACCUUGGUUGGUGGUCAGAAUGUGAGGCUUUCAUGGGGACGAAGCCCUUCAAACAAACAAACUCAGCCUCAGGAAGCCAGCCAGUGGGGUGCAGGUGCUGCUGCUGGUGCUGCUGGUGGUUACUAUGCUGGAUAUGGACAAGGCUACGAGGCUUAUGGACAAGGGUAUGCACAGCCUCAAGACCCUAACAUGUAUGGUUAUGGAGCCUAUGCUGGUUAUCCCAACUACCAACAACCAGCAGCGGCACCGCAGCCACCGCCACCGCAACAGUGA